rnacentral:antisense_RNA from 1 species
GGCAGCCGAUGGAAAAUUCAGACGGAUUUGGGACAGUAUGCAGAGUUCUCCAAGCGACAGAUUAACAGAGGCUCUUGAAGGAUAACUGUGUAAUCACGUGUUCUGCUCAAAAGAAGGCCUGAAUGCCCAGUGCCUUAUUUGGCUUUCAGGGGUCUUGCUGUGUCACCCAGGCUGGAGUACAGUGGUGCAGUCAUAGCUCACUGCUGCCUCAAACUCCUAGACUCAGGCAAUCCUCCUGCUUCAGCCUCCCGAGUAGCUGGGACUACAGUUUCCCCAUGUGUAUGCUGUGGUAUUGGAUCAGCAACGAGAUAAGAAGAUCUCUCCCAUUUCCAAGCGUCUAUGAUGAUUCUGAGGCACAAGGUCACAUUUGACAGUACUAGGAAACCCAGGAAACAACAAGCAAAGAUGACAAAGGAUGUGUCUGCCUGGGCAGACGAUCUAUUUGGACAAGAUAAUAGACCCAGGCAUGGACAUGCUCUCCAAGAAAGAUGCCCUGACAGCUGCUCACACUGAAGCUGAAUCGAACAUUCCAAUCCUUAGAGCUUCCAGCGAAGAUCUUGAAGUCUCCCUGAGCCACUGACACAAUGGCCAUGCCAUCCCAGUGAUAAAACACAAAUUGUGGCCUUGUUUUGGACAGAAAUAAAGAGCCCAGUUUGUUAGUGA